AAGGAGGGAGUCAGUGAUAUUCUCUCUUGACAAGCUUCACAUUGAGAUUUUUUUAGACUUUGAGGAGGAAUUAAGAACUGAACAAACUUUCUGAGAUAGAAAACAAGUGCGGAAAAAGCUAGUCCAGAAUCUGUAGUGAAAAUACCGAUUUAAAAACUACUUCUAAAUAUGUUUUGACAUGAAGUGUAACUUCGCAGUAACAUGCUGAAGUAAAAAUUUUCUGCUUGUUAGAACUGAUGUAAAAUGCCUGCUGAAUUUCCCCUGAUGACUUUCUCUGUUGAAGUAAACAGUGUGCAGGGAGAAAAUAUGAACACAGCCCCUGCCUGUAUAUGCUCGCACACUCAUACACACAGACACACCCUUGUACACACACACACACACACACACAAAAGCACAGACACACACUCAGCCUCACACACACUCACAAAGCAUCCUCUGUGAGGUGCCCUAAAUCGGCGGCCGACAGCCCAAACCGUGUUUCCUGUCCAGCUUAACCACAAAAGGCAAUAACACACAACCUAAUGUCACCGCUGUUAAUCACACACACACACACACAGAGGCUGGAGACACAGUCAUGUGUUGUGUAUGUGCGGAGAGGAGGGGUUGGGUGGGUGCAAAAGACGUGGGCUAACUCGUGGCCUCUGGGACUACCUCUCUCUCUCUCUUUUUCUGCAUGUCUGUCUUCCUCUCUCGUUCAUUCAUCCACCCAAAGUUUUAGUCACCAGCGAGGCAUCGCUCCACAUACUUUCCUUGUCAUGUUUUCAGCUUUUUCUCCCCUCUCCCUCCCCCUUCUUUAAAAACUUAUUUAUGUCUUUACACUGAGUCACAGCAAGAUGUGAUCGUCACUGACAUUUCAGCACAGAGGAAAGGAUGAAGGAAAGAUGAAGGACAGAGGGAGGAAUGAAGGAAAGGUGAACGACAAAGAGAGACGGACAUGGACUUCAUCGUCUGACUCAUCACCAUGAAGAGGAGGGCACAAGCUCAACCCUGGAUUGAUGCGCCCUGGCAGCCCCCUGUGUACUUGCUCUGAGGGAGAAGGGGGGACAACAGAGAGAACAGAAGAAAAGAGAAGAGGGAGAGAGCGUGAGGAAAUCUAGAGUGAAGAGGAAAUGAUUUUCUGAUUUUCUACACAGGCUUUGUGGUCCUGGAAGGCUGUUUAUAUGUGUGUGUGUGUUUUUUUAAGUCCAUUGGUGAGAACAAGAGGAGAGGAGAUUGUGCUAUCCACUGCCUCAGGGCUAAGCUGAGCCUAUAUAUUUAAGCCCCUACUGUUCCUUGCUUAACAAUAACGCCUACAAGUUUUAAUUUAAUUCUGUCUUUUCCCUUUAACUAAAUAAUCCACUUCCAUUUUCUAUGUCACAGCUGGAGAAAUAAAUCUAAUCUUAUCACACAGCAGACUGGGUGUGAGGUUUGAUGCUUAUGAGUUCUUCUUUCCUAUUUUUUUUUCUUUUUCUUCUUCAAGGCCAUGUGUGAUGAGGAAUAACAGAGACACAAGUGUGUAAGUGUGUGUGUAGUUUAGAGGGCAGGUAGGGCAGGGGGACAUGCAUGGGAGCCUUGCCAGUUUGUGGCAUUUUACAGUAUUUUUGUACAUGUGCAACCGUGCGUGUUUGUGAUACGUGUGUUUUCUUUGAUGAGGGGAGGAAGGUGAAUUGAGAUAAGACAUAAAAGCCAAACAAGAUGCCAAAGUAAGACAGUGACGGUGGAUGAGGAGUAGGGAAAAGAUGAGUGAAACUAGUCUGGGAAUCUGAGAGAAAAGACAGGAAAAAGUAGAGACUAACUGUGCUACUUGAGGUUUAAGGCUACCGGCCAGCUGGCCUGUGGCCACUCCAGUUGUGGUGAGCCUCCUAAACAUCUUACAACCCGGCAGCCUCCGUUUAGCAGCAUGCAGCCUACACCCACACACCGUCAUUACCAGACCACAACUCACCGCCUUUUUAUAGAAGCCAUUUACAUCAGAUUUCAAUAUUGGUUCAAUGUGUAGCUAG